GGUAAUCGUUAAUGUUAAAGUAGCAACUCUUUCAAUAUUGUCUUUUGUCCAAAUUUUCCUUUGGGCACAAACUCUGGAUAACAAGACACGGCGGCGCAGCCACCUUUUCCAGCGGAGACACCACCACCAGCACCACAGGAAAUGACGUCCAGCUCUCUCCCUUUUACUUGUUCCUCUUUUCAGCUUUCCCCCACACCAAAAUCCACCCGCAUUCGGACUCCAACUCCCGCCUUCACCCAUAACCCAUUUCCACCUUCAGCAAUCCGAAUGUGUGCAUCAACCCAACCCAAGAAAAUCCCGGGUCCGAAAAGGAUCAACAAGAAAAGGGGCUCUUCUUCCUCUUCCGAAGCAGAAGACUUAGUUCGCCUGCUCAUGAGGAAUUUCACUGAUAAGCAGCCUUUGGUGAAUACUUUGAACAAGUAUGUGAAGCUUGUGAGGACAGAGCACUGUUUCUUGCUGUUCGAGGAGCUUGGGAAGAGCGAUAAGUGGCUUCAGUGCCUUGAGAUGUUCAGAUGGAUGCAGAAGCAGAGAUGGUAUAUAGCUGAUAAUGGGGUGUAUUCAAAGUUGAUCUCAGUCAUGGGCAAGAAAGGGCAAACUCGAAUGGCCAUGUGGCUUUUCUCUGAGAUGCGUAAUAGUGGUUGUAAGCCUGACACAUCGGUUUACAAUGCACUGAUCACAGCCCACCUCCACUCUCGGGAUAAAUCGAAGGCAUUAGCGAAGGCUCUUUGGUAUUUUGAGAAAAUGAAGGGGAUGGAGCGGUGUAAACCUAGUAUUGUGACGUACAACAUUCUUUUGAGAGCCUUUGCUCAGGCAAGAAAUGUUGAUCAAGUUAAUGCUUUGUUCAAAGAUCUCGAUGAAAGUAUUGUCAGUCCUGAUAUCUAUACAUUUAAUGGUGUGAUGGAUGCCUAUGGGAAACUUGGGAUGAUUAGGGAAAUGGAGCUUGUUCUUUCUAGAAUGAAGAGCAAUCAGAUAAAACCAGACAUCAUUACUUUUAAUUUGUUAAUUGAUGCAUAUGGGAGAAAACAAGAAUUUGAUAAGAUGGAACAAGUUUUCAAGAGCUUGUUGCGCUCCAAAGAGAAACCGACACUCCCUACAUUUAAUUCCAUGAUUACGAACUAUGGAAAAGCAAGGCUCAGGGAGAAAGCAGAUUUGGUCUUCCAGAAAAUGACUGAAAUGGGUUAUAAGCCAAGCUUCAUUACUUAUGAGUGUCUUAUUAUGAUGUACGGUUACUGUGACUGUAUCUCGAAGGCUAGAGAGAUUUUUGACCAGAUGGCUGAGUCUGAAAAGGAGAAAAAAGUAUCAACUCUUAAUGCGAUGCUUGAUGUCUAUUGCCGGAAUGCUUUACCCAUGGAAGCAGAUAUGCUUUUCGAGAGUGCACGUAGAAGUCGAAUGUUUGCUGUAGAUUCCUCUACUUACAAGCUCCUUUACAAGGCCUAUACUAAAGCCAAUAUGAAAGAGCUAAUAGAGAAAUUACUCAUGUAUAUGGACAAAGAUGGUAUCGUUCCAAACAAAAGGUUCUUCCUCGAUGCUCUGGGGGCACUUGGGUCGUCGCCUCCCGGCAAGAAAUCCACAAGAAAGAGUGAUGGAUUGCACCAAGAAGCUGCUACUGCACAGUCAUAAUUAGAUAGAGCUGGGAUAUGAUUGAAUCACUCUUGCAUACCUGAGUAUGCUGGGGCAUAAGAAGAGCUUUUUUUUCAAAUGUUGCACUUGGUGAUUUCAUAGUGCUACUAACAUAGUUGCUGGAUUGUUCAUGCAAUUUUGCAGUCCAUUAUGAGUGUUCUGUUACAGGUUGGCUUCAUCUGAAGGGAAAUUGUGUAUGACUUCUGAAGUUAGUGAUACUGUGGAAGCAAAGAGCGGGAUUGGUGCUUGGGUUGAGCAACUUGAAGGGAACUUAAACAAAUAGGAAUUGAGUGUUGAACGGCAAUAACCAUGAGAAACAGAUAAUGCAGAAGUAUCGAUUUGCAAGGCUGAAGCAGAGUUGCAUUGAGCUCGCAUGUGAUGAUAUUUUACUUAUCUGAAGUUCGAGAAGAGGUGAUUGUUUUGGUAUAGCCAACUUAAUAAAGGAAAACCAUAAUGUGUUGUAUUCCGAGACCAACUUCAGAUUUGAGAUUAAUGACUUAAAAUGAGUCGAAUGUCAAUGAAAUGUUCUCUUUAUAUAUUAGAAUGUCAAUGCCAAUAUACUCUGUUACAGGUGAUGCUUCAUUGGCUAUUUCCACCCAAUGGCAUUAUCAUUUAUUUUCUUUCAACAUAUAGAGUAAAAAGACAAGAAUUUCACUCAGGACAGAAUCACCAUUUUCCUCCCUUUCUGAUGCACUAGCUGAUGCUUGUUGGUUCAUCUGAACAGUAUGGCAUGUGUGUUUCUUUGCACAUGUUGCCUGAUUGAAACUAUUACAAUUUCUCGAUGCUACAGAUUUUGAAGUUCAAGCGAAUAGCUGUUGCUCUUGUUCUUGAUUGUAUUCCACAGUUCAUGGGAUUAGGAUCUCUUCAUUUUACCUUCAUUCAAGAGGUGUUCAUUUGCUUGCUUGCUCUGUCUUUGCGGAUGGCUUCCAACUGAAUUACAAAUGAGAUUUCUGCUCUGCAGAUGUAGAAAUCUAAAGUUUCCUCUUGAUUAAGUUACACCAUUUUUGAAUAAAUUCUUUCAUCAGGAUUCAACCUUGCUGCUAAAGUAUUCUUAGAAUGUCUUCAGUUUCUCCCUAGAGUUGAGCUUCUUGACGGACACUUUUCUCCAUAUAUUUUAUGGCUUUGUGGUGGCACUUCAUGAUUAUAGCAUGCAUUAGCUUGGUAAGACAAGCUGCAACUAUAUUUGCAAUCAUGUUGCAUAACUGUUCGAACAGUCCCUCAUCCGUUGGGGGCCGAUCACCUUCAUAUCCUAUCAAGAGCCUUUGCAGAUCUUGUACAUUGAGUUAGCAGCUAUAACCUUAACCGGCCAGUUAAGAGGUUUUCCAUCAGGCUUUUCUCUAUGAGUUUCACGUAGAAGAGGCCUUAAUCCAGGCUCUGCAGUAGCCACUUGACUUUGUGCAUUGGGAUGUCAGGAAGUGCAGUGGCGAUGCUCGUCACAUCAGGGUCACCAGAGGCAAAGACCAGCACUUCGGAGUUUCCUGAGAAUGCAGGGUUGGGAGUUGGUUCCUGUCAACUUCUUUCAACCCUCCGGCUGCCCGUUGAUUUAUUACUUGGAGUUGAUUUUUCUUUUUCCCUUUUCCUCUCUGUGUGCUGCAGUCAUGAGACAACAAAUUGUUGGUUGAAGUUCAAGAAAAACUAAUGAAAUGAGCUCUUUAUAUGGUCUUUUAAGUUGACAUUGCUAAAAGGUGCAUCUGGUUAACAUGUGACAGGUUCAUUCUUCUGUCCGGGGAGUAGGGCUGGCGGACGAGUCGAGCCGGCUCGCGAAGCACUCUAGUUCAAUUAUUUCUGUCGUGAGCAGCUUUUUCUAUUUUUUUAAUUAUUUUUAUUUUUGAAAUUUUUAUAUAUUUAAUUUCAUAGUCAAUAUUUUAUCAAUUUUA